rnacentral:lncRNA from 1 species
AUAAAUUCUGCACAUUUUUUUGAAAAGUGCAAAUUUAACAGACUAAUAGGGGAAAAUCAAUGGUGGUAUUACACCUCAAAUGAGGUGAAUCUGUUUUGCACUCAUAUUGUGCAAUGAUAAGAAUUAUAUUUUGAAAAUAAAAAGUAAAACUUACUUACUUUGAUUGACAGCGACACUUUUUAACAAAGGAAACAACUGUACAAGUUUUACUCUAGAAGGGAGUGGCUAAAAAAAAAAACUGUAAUACAAAUGAGAAUAAAUAACGCCAAAUUAAUAACAAAAACAAUUGUCAUUUUGAUGCAUUAUGUUAAUGACUUUUUGUAAGUUAAUGUUUAGUCUCAUGUCUUUUUUGUACAGUGUGGCCAUCCUGUGUUUU